CGAAAGUGACUUCAGAGGUCUCAGUCCAAGCCACUCCUUCAUCAUUUCCUCUCAUUAAACAGAACAUGGUUUGACUGCAGGAACAAAAGUUGGCCAAAAGAAAGGACAAUUCAUGAAAAGAGAUAAGACAAAUGCACAGACUGAGAUAGAAGCCAUUCCCCCAAGCGCAGAGUCAGACCUUCCAUUUGGACCAAACAAGAUCACCUCUGAACCAAUAAUAUCCGUCAAAAGCUGUUCCCCUCAUCAAUGGAGUCUGAAUAAGUACAUUUUUGUGGAUCAAACAAAAGCUCUCAGAAGGAGAAACUCUGGUAGAAGGAGGUAGUCAUACCUUUAUAUUUACCUUGUAAGCUUUUGCAACUCCGUGGUGCUACUUCGACAGCCUCAUCCUCUGUUUUCCAACAUGAAAUUAUUCCUGUGAGGUCAGUGUU
ensembl:lincRNA